rnacentral:tRNA from 1 species
CAUUAGAUAACUUAAAGCAAGUAAUGGUCUCUUAAACCAAUUCAUGAUAUAUUAGCAACUAUCUCUAAUGA